UGUCAGGAGACAUUCAAAAAGUCUAAAACAUCUCAGCUCAUGAGUUUUUUUAUUGGAGAAUGCUAAUUGAUACGAAGCGCCCAUAGGGCUUCCUAGGACACCGAAGGAAUCGAAAGGAAAAUAGUGCAUUCAAGUACAUUAAGAAUUUAAAUGAUGCAAUUUUCAACUUCAUUUUCUAUUUUUGAUUCCUUAACAAGUGCCCAAGCAACGUUUUUUUUUUAUUUAGAUAAACGAUCAGUUGGUAUGCUGAAUUUAAUCUGCAAUAUAUAGUCAUACAUGAUAGAGUAUGUGUUGCUUUUAAAAAGCAAUAGUAUCUCAGUGAAUUAUACAAAUUUUACAAAAGCACAAUGGAAUUUCAAAAUUCAAUGUAAUAAUUAGCAUGAUAAAAACGCAAUAAUGUAAAAAACAAUUGAAAGCAAACAUACCUGGGGCAUGUGGAGCAGAUGAACCAGGAUAACCAGCAGGGUAAGCCCCAGGUGGGUACCCAUGUGAAGCAUUAGCUACACCAUGAGC